rnacentral:rRNA from 1 species
GAUGAACGCUGGCGGCGUGCUUAACACAUGCAAGUCGAGCGAACAGAGGAGGACCUUGCCUCUCUAACGUCAGCCGCGGGAGGGAUGGUAACACAUGGAUACCCUACCUAUAAAUAUGGGAUAAAUUCCGGAAACAGGAGCUCAUAUCGGCUGAUAAAUUAAACCGGAUGGCUUACUAGUGAAUGAGGGCUUUCCUGUUUCUUAUGGAUGGUUCCGCGCCGCAUUAGCUAGUUGGUAAGGUAACGGCUUACCAAGGCGACGAUGCGUAGCCGACCUGAGAGGAUGAUCAGCCACACUGGAACUGAGACACGGUCCAGACUCCUACGGGAGGCAGCAGUGGGGAAUCUUCGGCAAUGGGCGAAAGCCUGACCGAGCAACGCCGCGUGAGUGAUGAAGGUCUUCGGAUCGUAAAACGCUUUUGUUAGGAAAGAACAAAUUUGGAAUUAAAUAUGCGCGUCAUGACGGUACCGAAUGAGUAAGCCACGGCUAACUACGUG